rnacentral:rRNA from 1 species
AUGGAUCUCCCAGACCUCAACUUCACUCCACCUGCAGAAGAUGUGGAUGAAAUGGAUGAAGAUGCAGAAAAUGAAAUGGAAGGACAUGUAGGAGAUGAUAUGGAAGGAGAUGCCGGACAGGGAAUGGAAGGAGAUGAAAUUGUUCAAAAUCCAGGUGUUGGGCAAGUUGGUAGAAAAAAUAAAACCCUCAAUGACCAGCAAAAAAUUGCUGCUUAUGUAGCAUUGCAUACACUGUGUAUGAGUAGAGGAGGCACUUUUAAGAAAACUGAUACGCAAUACAUUGCAAAUUUUUUUGGAGUGGGUGUUUGGAAUAUACAAAGAAUUUGGAGGAAAGCAAUGUUGCAAAUUCAACAAGGUCAAGAAGUAGAUAUUGCCGAUCAGAGAAAAGGAAAUAGUGGAAGAAAGACUAUGGACAUUAACCUAGAAAAAAUCCUAACAAUCCCAUUAAACAGGAGGUCUACUAUUAGGUCACUAGCCUGGCAAUUGGGAUGUAGCCCUACCACACUUCAUAGAAAAUUCAUGCUGAAUUUGAUUAGGAGGCAUACAAACUGUGUGAAGCCGGCUUUAAAGGAAAAGAAUAAGAUGGUUAGGAUGAAAUUUUGUUUGUCGAUGCUUGAUGAGGCAACAACAGCAACUGCGAGGCCUAAGUUCAAGACUAUGCAUAAUGUUGUCCAUAUUGACGAGAAGUGGUUUAACAUGACAAAGAAGAAUAGAACAUAUUAUCUGCUGGAUGGGGAGGAAGAGCCUACGAGGCCUAUACACGGCAACUGUAUUGGCAAGGUGAUGUUCUUAACAGCCGUUGCUAGGCCAAGGUGGGACAGGGAAGGAAACGUGACAUUCUCUAGGAAAAUUAGUAUCUGGCCAUUCGUGAAUCCUGCUCAGAGGAGAAGCGACAACAGACCCAAAGGUACAAUAGAGACAAAGUCAAUAAAGGUCGACAGAAAAGUGAUGAGGGAGUUCCUGAUAGAGAAGGUCUUGCCAGCGAUACAAGCAGUUUGGCCGGAAAGUGAUGCUGGUCAGACCAUCUACAUUCAGCAGGAUAAU